AGCGCAGGCGGUUUGAUAAGUCUGAAGUUAAAGGCUGUGGCUCAACCAUAGUUCGCUUUGGAAACUGUCAAACUUGAGUGCAGAAGGGGGGAGUGGAGUUCCAUGUGUAGCGGUGAAAUGCGUAGAUAUAUGGAGGAACACCGGUGGCGAAAGCGGCUCUCUGGUCUGUAACUGACGCUGAGGCUCGAAAGCGUGGGAGCGAACA
rnacentral:rRNA from 1 species